UCCAUGUGUGACUUUAGCAUUUGUUGAGCAACUUUAUUAGCUAACUGUGUAGCCAAUUGAUGUUUAGAUGCUUGAUAUAAUUGGUAAUUGAUAAUGUCAUAUGUUUGACACGAAUCUAAUCUGGAACUCUCCUUGGAAAUAAUUGAAUUCAUGAGCUACUGACGGAGUUUACAAUUACAUGUACUGCAUCUUGCAUCUUUCAGUCAGGUUGGUUGUAUUUUAGAACCUGGAGUCCACG
rnacentral:lncRNA from 1 species